rnacentral:rRNA from 1 species
GUAGUCCUAGCCGUAAACGGUGCACGUUUGCUGUAAGAGGAAUCGACCCCUUUUGUGGCGAAGCUAACGCGUUAAACGUGCCGCCUGGGAAGUACGGUCGCAAGAUUAAAACUCAAAGAAAUUGACGGGGGCCUGCACAAGCGGUGGAGUAUGUGGCUCAAUUCGAUGCAACGCGAAGAACCUUACCUGGCCUUGACAUGUACGUAGUAGAAGGGUGAAAGCCUGACGAGGUAGCAAUACCAGCGUACACAGGUGCUGCAUGGCUGUCGUCAGCUCGUGUCGUGAGAUGUUGGGUUAAGUCCCGCAACGAGCGCAACCCUUGCGUCCUGUUGCCACUCCUGCGAGAGCGGGAAGCACUCUGGACGGACUGCCUCAUUUAAAUGAGGAGGAAGGUGGGGAUGACGUCAAGUCAGUAUGGCCCUUACGGCCAGGGCUGCACACGUACUACAAUGCCCGGCACAGAGGGAAGCGAGACCGUCAGGUGGAGCAAAUCCCAGAAAACCGGGCCCAGUUCAGAUUGUCGUCUGCAACUCGACGGCAUGAAGCUGGAAUCGCUAGUAAUGGCGCAUCAGCUACGGCGCCGUGAAUA